rnacentral:rRNA from 1 species
UGGGGAAUAUUGCACAAUGGGCGAAAGCCUGAUGCAGCAACGCCGCGUGAGUGAUGAAGGCCUUCGGGUUGUAAAGCUCUGUCUUCUGGGACGAUAAUGACGGUACCAGAGGAGGAAGCCACGGCUAACUACGUGCCAGCAGCCGCGGUAAUACGUAGGUGGCAAGCGUUGUCCGGAUUUACUGGGCUGCAAGGAUGCGUAGGCGGAUACUUAAGUCAGAUGUGAAAAUCCCGGGCUUAACUUGGGAACUGCAUUUGAAACUGGGUAUCUAGAGUGCGGGAGAGGAAAGUGGAAUUCCUAGUGUAGCGGUGAAAUGCGUAGAGAUUAGGAAGAACACCAGUGGCGAAGGCGACUUUCUGGACCGUAACUGACGCUGAGGCAUGAAAGCGUGGGGAGCAAACA